rnacentral:rRNA from 1 species
GAUGAACGCUGGCGGCGUGCCUAAUACAUGCAAGUCGAGCGCAGGAAAUCGGCGGAACCCUUCGGGGGGAAGUCGACGGAAUGAGCGGCGGACGGGUGAGUAACACGUAAAGAACCUGCCCUCAGGUUUGGGAUAACCACGAGAAAUCGGGGCUAAUACCGGAUGGGUCAUCGGACCGCAUGGUCCGAGGAUGAAAGGCGCUUCGGCGUCGCCUGGGGAUGGCUUUGCGGUGCAUUAGCUAGUUGGUGGGGUAAUGGCCCACCAAGGCGACGGAGCACAGCCGACCUGGGAGGGUGAACGGCCACACUGGGACUGAGACACGGCCCAGACUCAUACGGGGGGCAGCAGUAGGGAAGCUUCCACAAUGGACGAAAGUCUGAUGGAGCAACGCCGCGUGAACGAUGAGGGCCUUCGGGUCGUAAAGUUCUGUUGUAAGGGAAGAACAAGUGCCGCAGGCAAUGGCGGCACCUUGACGGUACCUUGCGAGAAAGCCACGGCUAACUACGUGCCAGCCGCCGCGGUAA